AUUGAACGCUGGCGGCAUGCUUUACACAUGCAAGUCGGACGGCAGCACAGAGAAGCUUGCUUCUUGGGUGGCGAGUGGCGAACGGGUGAGUAAUAUAUCGGAACGUACCGAGUAAUGGGGGAUAACUAAUCGAAAGAUUAGCUAAUACCGCAUAUUCUCUGAGGAGGAAGGCAGGGGACCUUCGGGCCUUGCGUUAUUCGAGCGGCCGAUAUCUGAUUAGCUAGUUGGUGGGGUAAAGGCCUACCAAGGCGACGAUCAGUAGCGGGUCUGAGAGGAUGAUCCGCCACACUGGGACUGAGACACGGCCCAGACUCCUACGGGAGGCAGCAGUGGGGAAUUUUGGACAAUGGGCGCAAGCCUGAUCCAGCCAUGCCGCGUGUCUGAAGAAGGCCUUCGGGUUGUAAAGGACUUUUGUCAGGGAAGAAAAGGCUGUUGCUAAUACCGACAGCUGAUGACGGUACCUGAAGAAUAAGCACCGGCUAACUACGUG
rnacentral:rRNA from 1 species